AAUCAACGCUGGCGGCGUGCCUCAGACAUGCAAGUCGAACGAUUAAAGCUCUCUUCGGAGAGUGCAUAAAGUGGCGCACGGGUGAGUAACACGUAAGUAAUCUACCUUCGAGUGGGGAAUAACAUCGGGAAACCGAUGCUAAUACCGCAUAAUGCGGCGGCAUCGCAAGGCGACAGUUGUUAAAGAUUUAUCGCUUGAAGAGGAGCUUGCGGCAGAUAGCUAGUUGGUAAGGUAAUGGCUUACCAAGGCUACGAUCUGUAACCGGUCUAAGAGGACGGUCGGUCACACUGACACUGAAUAACGGGUCAGACUCCUACGAGAGGCAGUAGUCGGGAAUUUUGGGCGAAUAGGGCGG
rnacentral:rRNA from 1 species